rnacentral:rRNA from 1 species
UACGGAGGGUGCAAGCGUUAUCCGGAUUUACUGGGUUUAAAGGGUGCGUAGGUGGGUCUGUAAGUCAGUGGUGAAAUCUCCGAGCUUAACUCGGAAACUGCCAUUGAUACUAUAGGUCUUGAAUUAUCUGGAGGUAAGCGGAAUAUGUCAUGUAGCGGUGAAAUGCUUAGAUAUGACAUAGAACACCAAUUGCGAAGGCAGCUUACUACGGAUUGAUUGACACUGAGGCACGAAAGCGUGGGGAUCAAACAAG